CCACGCCGUCUCCUCGAACACGGCGCGGUCGACGCGCGCCACGCUUCCCAUGCUGACGUACAGAACGGAGCGCGGCGGGCGCGCGUCCAGCCACGCCAAGCAGGUGGGGUCCGGCGCGUCCUGGUACCCCGCGGCCGCCGCCGCCGCGGGGUCCGGCGACGCCAGGUGCAGCGGCCCCACGGCGAAGACCGGGCGGCCGGACAGCUCGCGCCGGAUCUUGGCCAGCGCCGCGCCCUCGAUGCCCUCGAACGUGUUCAGCACCACGCCCGACGACGAGGCCCGCACGGCC
rnacentral:lncRNA from 1 species